rnacentral:lncRNA from 1 species
AAAAACCUAAGUGAUGUUUCUCAAGGCAUCAAGAGCCACCUUGAGAGAGCUGGUUGUGCUGGCACACACCUUUAUGCUCAGAACUCAGGAGGCAGAUGCAGCCAAGUAUCUUUGAAGUCAAGGACAACCUGGCCUAUAUAAUAGUGAGUUCAAGUCCCGCCAGGGCUACAAAAGUGAAACCUUGUCUCACAAACAAAACAUCAAACCUGGUGACCUGAACCUUGUGACCAAUAAACAUUUACUUACUAACUCUUUUGUGACAAAUUCCACAGGCAGCUGAGGACUCAGCCCAGGUGAGGCUUCCGCCUGAAAGAUGAGCUAAAGCCAGAGGGAAAUUCCAUCCAGGACCUCACAUGUGACUCGUUCCAAGGGCUCUGAAGACAGUCCCCAUAUUACGUGGGGUGAUGACUGAAAGCUGGAGGGAGCCACUGGAGGUGAAAUUCAAGAAUUAAGUGAAGAGUGAAGAGAGAAUUCUUGGAAGGAAUGCAGAGACCCAGGCCUGGGAGGGGAAGAGCUGCUUUUACACUGGGAUAGGGUUUGGAGGUAGCUGAUGCAUGCUGGAGUUCAGGACACAAACCUGGAAAGGUGGGGAGUGUCAGGCAUGAAGGGGAGUGGGGCUUCAGGCUAACCAAGAGGUGGUGAUGAACGGAGCUGAUGGUGUCUAAGCCAGACAAGGCUGUUACAUAAUUUCCAUUUGUUUGUUCCCUUUUGAGAGAGAAUCUGGAUAUAGAGUUUAAAUUGGUCUUGAACUU